GAUGAACGCUGGCGGCGUGCCUAAUACAUGCAAGUCGAGCGAACAGACGAGGCGCUUGCUCCUCUGACGUUAGCGGCGGACGGGUGAGUAACACGUGGAUAACCUACCUAUAAGACUGGGAUAACUUCGGGAAACCGGAGCUAAUACCGGAUAAUAUAUUGAACCGCCUGGUUCAAUAGUGAAAGACGGUUUUGCUGUCACUUAUAGAUGGAUCCGCGCCGCAUUAGCUAGUUGGUAAGGUCACGGCUUACCAAGGCAACGAUCCGUAUCCGACCUGACAGGGUGAACGGCGACACCAGAACUGAGACCAGGUCCAGACUCCUACGGGAGGCAGCAGUAGGGAAUCUUACGCAAUGGGCGAAAGCCUGACGGAGCAACGCCGCGUGAGUGAUGAAGGUCUUCGGAUCGUACAGCUCUGUUAUUAGAGAAGAACAAAUGUGUAAGUAACUAUGGACGUCUUGACGGUACCGAAUCAGAAAGCCACGGCUAACUACGUG
rnacentral:rRNA from 1 species